UUAUUUUUGGUUUUGUUGAGACAGGAUUUCUCUGGUAGCCCUGGCUGUCCUACAACUUGCUUUGUAGUCCAGGCCCCAAACUCAGAGCCUCUGCAUCCUCAGUGUUAAUGAUACUCUGUUAUACUUGCAGGGAGAAGUCUAGCACCGCUGCCCUCUAAGAGGAUCCAGCCAGCAGCUAACUCGGACAGAUGCAGACACCCACAGCCAAAGGGUGGAUGGUGUUUGGGGAUUCUUCUGGAAGAACAGGGGGAUGGAUUGUAAGCCCUGAAGGGCCUAGGAACUCUACAGGAAGACCAGCAGAGUUAAUUAACCUGGACUCUUGGGGCUCUCAGAGUCUGAACCACCAACCGACAUACCCACAGGCUGAACCUAGGCCUCCCCACACAAAUCUAGCAGAUGUGCAGCUUGGUCUCCCAGUGGGUACCGAACAACUGGAAUAGUAGGAGCCAUCCCAACAGCUGUUACCUAUGCAGGGGAUCAAGUCCACACCCUUAUGCACACACCAGCUAAACACUCCGUGUCUGAGCUAUCCAGCCCCUUACUGUACUCUUGUCCCGGAGCACCUGAGGAUCUCGGUCACAGGAUGGCGGCCAUCCAGUAAUCAAUCCUCAAGGAAACCGAGGGACACUGCACUUUGAACCCUUUUUAAGUUGGGAUUGAGGCAUUUCUCGCUGUCAGACUGUCUUUGGGCCCUCCAACUGGCAUUUUCAAACUGUUGACACUCGACUACUUUACAAGAGAAAGCUUGA
rnacentral:sRNA from 1 species